rnacentral:rRNA from 1 species
ACUAUUGUCACGGGUUACCGCGGCUGCUGGCACGGAGUUAGCCGGUGCUUCUCUGUGAGUGAUGUCCUUCCUGCCGGCUAUUAACCCGCAGGCCUUCUUCCUCACUGAAAGUGCUUUACAACCCGAAGGCCUUCUUCACACACGCGGCAUGGCUGGAUCAGGGUUGCCCCCGAUUGUCCAAUAUUCCCCACUGCUGCCUCCCGUAGGAGUCUGGGCCGUGUCUCAGUCCCAGUGUGGCUGAUCAUCCUCUCAGACCAGCUACGGAUCGUCGCCUUGGUGAGCCGUUACCUCACCAACCAGCUAAUCCGACAUAGGCUCAUCCGAUAGCGCGAGGCCCGAAGGU